GACGAACCGUGCGAACGUUGUUCGGAAUCACUGGGCUUAAAGGGCGCGUAGGCGGGUUCGCAAGUCUGUGGUGAAAGCCUCCAGCUUAACUGGAGAAGUGCCGUGGAUACUGCGAAUCUUGAGGAGGGUAGGGGCAUCUGGAACGGUCGGUGGAGCGGUGAAAUGCGUUGAUAUCGACCGGAACUCCGGUGGCGAAGGCGAGGUGCUGGACCCUUUCUGACGCUGAGGCGCGAAAGCCAGGGGAGCAAACGGG
rnacentral:rRNA from 1 species